UUAAGCAUAUCAGUAAGCAGAGGAAAAGAAAACAACUGUGAUUCCCUUAGUAACUGCGAGUGAAGCGGGAUAAGCCCAUCGUUUAAUCUUCUUGGACCUAGUUCAAGACGAAAUGUAACGGUAUGGAUAGGUUCUCUACCAAGUAUGUCUAGUCAAAGUCCUCCGGAUUGAGGUGCCAUAGAGGGUGACAGCCCCGUAUGUGACUAGAUAAACUUGGGUAUGUGACCAAAUCCGAGAGUCGGGUUGUUUGGGACUGCAACCUAAAGUAGGUGGUAAACUCCACCCAAGGCUAAAUAUAGACACGAAACCGAUAGCGAACAAGUACUGUGAGGGAAAGUUGAAAAGAACUCUGAAAAGAGAGUUAAAAGUACGUGAAACCGCUAACGGGGAAGCGGAAGGCAGUGUCGAGAUUCUGUGAGUGAGAUGUUAUAUGUUUAUGAGUUAUGUUGUUAUAUUGAUAAUGUGCUAAUAUUAUACAUAUAUUAUCUAGCUUGGCAGGAUGCGUCAGAUCUAUCGGUAUUAACAUGACUAAAUUAUUUGAUUGGCUUGUACGACGCCCUAUAUACUUGUAUGUGGGUUCGUAUUUGUAUAAGAUAAUCCGUCAUGUGUACUGAUAUGUAUGUGAUGAAGCGUUAGUGAGUUAUUAUUAUCGGUUGAGAGUUGGUAGUGCUGUGUGUUGAUUGCAGUGUAGUUAAUACGGAGAAACUACUACAAACUUGUCAACAACUAAUGCUAGUAUCUGACGAGAUACCUAACCUUCCGACCCGUCUUGAAACACGGACCAAGGAGGCAGAAUCUAGAGCAAGUUGGAGGGUGUAAAACCCGACGGCGUAGUGAAAGCAAGAGAUGAGAUCUACUAGCUUUGGCUGGUAGCGCAUCAUCGGCCAGUCAUUAUACAAUGAUUGAGUUAGAGCUCUAGAUGCUGGACCCGAAAGAUGGUGAACUAUGCGUGAGCAGGGUGAAGCCAGAGGAAACUCUGGUGGAGGCUCGAAGCGAUUCUGACGUGCAAAUCGAUCGUUUGACUUGCGUAUAGGGGCGAUAGACUAAUCGAACCAUCUAGUAGCUGGUUCCCUUCGAAAUAUCCCUCAGGAUCGCUGAGACAAGUGAUAAACAGUUUCAUCGGGUAGAGCGAAUGAUUAGAGGAAUCGGGGAUAUAUUACUCUCGACCUAUUCUCAAACUAUCAACCGGUGAGAACAUUGUUUUUCUUGUUUUGAAACAAUGUGUAUGAAUGUUGUUGUCUCAAGUGGGCCAUUUUUGGUAAGCAGAACUGGCGAUGCGGGAUGAACCGAGAGUCGAGCUAAGGUGCCUAAGGACACGUUGAUAGAUACCACAAAAGGAGUCGGUCGAUAAAGACAGCAGGGCGGUGGCCCUGAAAGUAGGAAUCCGCUAAGGAGUGUCUAACAACUCACCUGCCGAAUCGACCGGCCCUGAAAAUGGAUGGCGCUGAAGCGUGUCACCGAUGCUCGACCUCUACCACGAGAGAUGUUGGUAGAGGGUAGAAGGGCGCAGCGGUAGCGAUAAAGUACAAAGUGUAAACUUGUAUGGAGCUGCCGUUGGUGUAGAUCUUGGUGGUAGUAGCAAUUAUAAAAGUGAGUAAAAACCUUUUAGGCCGAAGUGGAGAAGGGUUCCACGUGAACAGCAGUUGGACGUGGGUUAGUCGGUCCUAAGCGGUUGCCUAACGGCUAUUUCAAUGCUGACUUGGUUAUUACGUGGUAAUUCAUGUAAAAAGUGAUGAACUGCGUAGUGUGACGUGGGUCAGAGUUCCGCGAAAGGGAAUCAGGUUAAUAUUCCUGAACCGGGCGAUGGAGACGCUUUUUGUCAGUAUUAUUCGAAAGAGUAGUGCUGCAAUUGGCUUAGCGGUAACGCAAACAAUCUCGGAGACGUUGAUAUCUAUGGCGGGGAGAAUUAUCUUUUCUGUAUAACAAGUCAAAUACCUUGGAAUCGAGUCAUUCGGAGAUAAGGUAAUAAGCUUGGAAGAGCACCGCAAAUUUAUGCAGUGUCCGUACUAUAGAUAUCGGCCCUUGAAAAUCCGAGGGAGUGGUUAAAUUUCACGCCCGUCCGUACCGAAUCCGCAUCAGGUCUCCAAGGUGUGCAGCCUCUGGCACUGGAACAAUGUAGGUAAGGGAAGUCGGCAAAAUGGAUCCGUAACUUUGGGAAAAGGAUUGGCUCUAAGGGCCGGGCCAAUCGAGCUAGUAUUGCCUAGGCUAGUGGGGGUUGAACGGGGUCUAUCUGGAUGCAUGUAAAAGUGUUAUUUAGAUGGAUCUGGUGAAGCAAACGCUGGCCCUGGAAUACCUGUGUGAACUUGUGUUAGCAGAUUGAUUGUUGGUGUAUCAGUUUGCUUAAUUGUGGAUUGUUAUGCUGGCAAUUCGGGCUGUUGAUAGGGUUCUUUACGAGUGGCAAGCAUCGGUCAGCUUAGAACUGUUACUAACUAGGGGAAUCCGACUGUUUAAUUAAAACAAAGCAUUGCGAUGGCCGGAAACGGUGUUGACGCAAUGUGAUUU
rnacentral:rRNA from 1 species